GGGGUUUUAGCUCAGUUGGUAGAGCACAACGCUGGCAGCGUUGGGGUCAACGGUUCGACUCCGUUAAGCUCCA
rnacentral:tRNA from 1 species